GUGCCUUGAUUAUUUCUUAUUUUACAAAGUUAUUUCUGUCAUACAAUCAGUAAUUUAUUUUGCAAUAUUAUAAAUUCUCUGUAUGUUAAAAUCAUCUGUUAUUGAAAAACUAAAUUUCAACUUUUUUUACUCAUUGAAUAUACAACAUUGUUAUCUUAUGAAAACCGUUUUUUUUUUUAAAUGUGCACAUGAUCAAUGCUAUUACAACCC
rnacentral:lncRNA from 1 species